rnacentral:sRNA from 1 species
CUCUUCCUUUAUUUUCAGGUUCGCUAGAAAAGUGGCAGACAUUUUCCGAAUCGUUUUACUCAACUACAUCAGAAUUCCAAUACUCCAAAUUGUACAUCAUGAGAUUGAGAGAUUCAUUGAAAGGCCGUGUCCGUGAAUAUGUAGAAUGUCUAUUCGGAAGCUCUGCUAAUGAACAACUUAAUCACAGCCAAAUUAAAACGAUACGCCAAAUACCACUAUUGCAAAAGAAUAUUUGGAUGCUCUAGUAAUUUUCAUCACAAAAAUUUUUAACUAAUGUUUUACAAGGAGAACAUCAUCUAACAAAUCCGUCUUUGCUGAGUGAGUUAGUUUCAAUAUUAUCAAUAAACAGACAAACGCAAAGGGAGGAAAAAGUGUUUAUUAUUAGAAUGCCCUGCAACAAUUGUGGAUUUCAUCAAUUGGUUACAAACGUUGCGACGCAUUGCCAACAUGGUCAAUGACACGUUACUCACUACUAACCGACGUAGCACCAUAACAAAGCCGAGCUUUAUGCAAACAAAUGCAACUAUAGGCAACUGCAGCGGCUAAGCACUCUAUACCUGCCGGGGACGUUGAGACCAGUGAGUGGGCUAUAAGUUGGAGAGGAUAUAUGGCCUUGCGAGCCGAAUGUGCUGCUCAAAAGCCGAGACAAGUCGUCCAAGCCUGGAGGUAGUGGUGGAGCAACGGACGAAAGCGCUGAUGAGAUGGGAGCAUUGCUGGCUGCCGUUGUGGUUGUUGUUGCUGUCGUGGAAGUCCCAGCUGGUUGGGUUGUAUUCGCCUGAAAAUUCCGAGAAGUUCAUGGCUGCAUCCUCGAAAUGCCCAGAAUCUUCUCUGCUUGCCGAUCGAGUAUUCACCAUUGGUGUAAUAGAUUUGCCAAAAUAGAAAAAUGCUAAACUCGAAAUGCAAAAUUGGAAAAAGCGCCAAAAACACCAAAAAAAAAAUAUAUUGCCAAAAAGGAAAACUCCUUUAUAACUUCGUAAAAUGCUGGAUGGAAAAUCAGAAAAACCCAAAAUAUAAAACGUCCAACUCUAUAAGACAGCAGCUAACAUAGGAAUCAAAAGUUACUAAAAAGCCGAAAAAGAUAAUAGCUUGCUUGGUAUAUUCAAAACACCCUCCUGCUACUAAGGGAAUAAAUCUACCAAAGUAAAAACGCCGAAGGGAAAAAGGAACUAAAAAUUCAUGUAAUUGAUCGGUGGUAGGUAACAACUAAACAAAAAGGGUUUCGUGAGUGUUAACGCAGAAGACAAAAACAUGAAAGAUGGAAAAUUAGCUACGAUGGACUACACGAGGAAAGGAAACCUAUGUAUGGCACCACAGCUCAUGGGACGCGCCCCGAAUGCGUGUGAAGAAAAAGGCCUCUAUCCCGUGAUAAAACGGCCAGAACAAGGGGUAGGGCUAAACAGAUGGUGACAGUAGAUGAUGAUGGACCCUCCGCUGAACUGUCCGUCCAUACGUGUAUGUCUGUUUGUACAUAUGUUUCUUUUUUCUAUUCUGUAUAAUUAUUCGCAAUUGUGUUAAUUUUUUUUAUGGCAGUACAAUCGGCUUGCGUUAAUGGGGCAAAAAAAAACCCUCUCCUUAAACCACCAAAGCUACCUAAAAUUAGCUCACACCUCGGGCACCUUUCCUACCAAAGCUGGAUAAGCCAGCUCCAAUUCUCGAAUCCAAAUGAAAGGAAAAAGCCAAGGAAAUCGUCCAUUUUCCAAAAAUUUCCUGUCAUGCCCCUUUUUCCUUUCACUUUUCUUCUCAUUGUUUAUAUUUGUCCCCAAGCUGGUGACUGGUGAGUCAUAAACACAGGCACCUAUACGGCAGCUGUUUAUGCCGUGUUGCCAAUCGAAUAAACAUUGUGUCAUUCACAAUAACACGGUUAGUGGCCCUACUCAAGUUUUGUCAUCGCGCACACAACAAUAUGCAUUUUUUCAAUUAGGAAAUAAGUGGUUCUGAGAAAGCAAUUGUGUUUGUUUAGGGUCGACCAUAAAUGUACUCUGAUAAUUGAAUAUUGCAUUCUCGCUACCUGUGACAGUAUAGUUUUAGUUUAUUUGGACAUAUAGAUUUAGGUUUGGAGUUACGAUCAAUUUAGAUAAAAAUGGAGUUCCUCCAAAACCACCAACCAAAGCGGUUGGUCUUCUAUUUGUUCGCAUUUUGCGCAUUUUGGCGACUCCGAAGUGAUAGUGACUCGACGUAAUAGUCACGCAACGCGAUAGUAACGCGUCGUGAUAGUGCCGUGACUGUGACAUGUUCAGUGUAGAACAGGUUAUUCCCGUCUAACAUAUUCAAAGUGAAUGUGGAGGUACAUAUUAGUGAUUUUUUAGCAACGUACGAUAGGAACUCGUAGUGCUAGUAUAUAGCUUAUUAAGAUGAAUUAAAAAAAAAUCAUACAACAUCAGUGGAUGUGGGCAGGCAUAUUGUGUCGUCACGAAAACAAAGAGUGAUUUCCUAAGAAAUAAUGGGGAACUCUGUCGUAUGGGAGAAUUUUCGUACGACUAUAGAAUAUUUGUAGAUAGAGUGCAAGAUUCCAUUCGUAAAUUCGAAUGCUUGUACCAAUAAAUUGAAGGGGAAUUUUUUUAAAUAAAUGGGGUUUGGUUCCAUAAGGAAAUAGUGCUUCCUAAAUUAGAUUGUGGAAAAGUGGAUGACGGGUAAAUGGCCAGGACAGAGGACGAUGGAUAUGACAUGAUAGGACAGAGUGACAGGAAAUAAUUCCAUCAUCAGGGUGAAGGUCGGGAAGACACAUUCAAACCAUCCCAAAAGAAAAGAUUCGAGACCUUAACGCGUGCGUCAAUUUCAAGAAAACCGAAUUGGAAUGGAAGCAAAAGAUCUUUGACGAGAGUUUAACCCAGCAGAAAGCCAUUUCCGAGCAAUUUGCUAAAGUACGGGAUGCUGCCGAACAUAAGGCCCGUGAACAAGAAUACGGAGAACAAACGCAAGGCGCUACAAAAUGAUCUCGGAGAUUGGAUCUAUACCCAUCAGCAAAAAUUUUCAUAAAUUGGAGAUGGGUAAAUGUGCCUUGGAGUCAAAAUUGGUCGACCUGAAAAAAAAA